rnacentral:rRNA from 1 species
UACGUAGGGUGCAAGCGUUGUCCGGAAUUAUUGGGCGUAAAGAGCUCGUAGGCGGCCUGUCGCGUCGGAUGUGAAAAUCCAAGGCUCAACCUUGGACCUGCAUUCGAUACGGGCAGGCUAGAGUUCGGUAGGGGAGACUGGAAUUCCUGGUGUGGCGGUGAAAUGCGCAGAUAUCAGGAGGAACACCGGUGGCGAAGGCGGGUCUCUGGGCCGAUACUGACGCUGAGGAGCGAAAGCGUGGGGAGCGAACAGG